UAUGAUGAUAAGCAAGUGAAGAAAAGUGUGUGGAUCGUAGCUUUCUGCCAAGUUCGAUAAACACAUCAUACCGCCGAUUCCCUAAAGAUUCUUCCAUAAGGAAAACAUGGAUUGAGGCAUGUAGAAGGAAAGGUUACUUUAAUGUUCAGGAAGCUAGAAUUUGUGGAAAUCAUUCCGAGCCUUCUAGUUUUAAGCGAGACCUUAAAAAUGAACUCUUGGCAUUUCCCACUCGAAAUUUAUUAAAACCCGGUUCAAUUCAAUCUCGUUUCUUACGAAAAGAAUUUACCAUCCCCAAUAGAGAUAGAUAGAUAUUUCAGAUGGAAAAAACAGAGCCAUCAAGCGAAGGAGGAAGAAUGAAAUUCAGUGGCUUUUGGAUUCUACAAUUCUUCCAAACGCCUGAGACUGAUCACCAUCCUAUGCUCCAAAAAGACGAGCAUGGCCAGACAAAGGAAAAAUAUCUUACAGAUUCAAUUACUCAAUGGGAUAUCCUAAAACCCAAAUCAAAAUUUGUAUCGGAAAUUCACUACAUUAGAAACAAACUUCUGGUGGCAGAGAAGGAAAUUUAAAAUCUUGGAGAGAACAGGUAUCUACAGACCAUGAAGUGUGAGUUGAUUAUCGUGAAUAAAUGUAUUCGCGGGAACCUUAGCCCAUCCUUAAAAAAACGUAUCAUAUCAUCUAAGACUACUAAGUUCAAUCGUGGCUAUACAAAAGAUGAAAUUAUAAUUGGACUUGUCUUAAGAUAUGAGUUGCAGAACUUUUGAAUAUCUUGGGUUAAGGCCUUGAAAAAGAUGUUACAGAUUUCUGAAUUUAACGAAAAAUUUGUAAUCUUGGCAUUUGAUGAAAUUGAUUUGAAAUGAAGAUAUAAGAUGGAUCUGAAGAAGCAGAAAAUAGUUGGCCCUUGUAAAAAAUUACAAAUGGUAAUAAUGCAAGGAUUAUUCCAGGGCUGGAAGCCGCCAAUCUUCUUUGAUCUCUAUACUUUCACGACCAAAAAUCUACUUUUUUCUAUAGUAUGUCAAAUAGAGGAACACGGUUUUCAAAUUCGUUGAGUCACAAUGGACAUGGGAAAUAUUUCUCUCAUAUCUCAACUCUCUUUGAAAGACCAAAAUUAUUCCUUUUCUAAUCCAGCAGAUCCCUCUCGUCUUUCCAGAUUCAUCCCAUUUAUUAAAAAGAGCUCGUUAUCAUUUGAUAGACAAAUUAUUUUUGAUAUUUUGUAAAGAUAGAAAACAAUCAGCAGAGCUCCAGAAAUCAUACUUUCUAAGACUUCUUGUUCAAGAUGGUGGUGAGCUUACAAUAGCUCAUAAACUCAUAGAUAUUAAUUUAAAUUACAUGGGCAAUGCAAGGCAACGGGUUUCCUAUGCAGCCCAGCUACUGUCAAGAACAACUGCGAAAGCGAUUUCUUUUACAUCAAACCAAAGAGAAGAAAAAGGUGCAAAGCUUAAGGAAGAUUUGAUUCUUACAUUUGACACAUGGUUUGAUGUUAUGACUUCUGGUCAUAUAUUUGACAAGAAAAAAAUGUCAUGUGGUUUGGGUGUACAUUGGGAAGAGCAGCGUGGAUCAUUAGAGAGGAUGGAAGUUUUGAUUACGUCCAUGAAAAUCGAGAGGUGGUUAUUUAAAGGCUUAUCUUCCAUGGAAGGGAUUUUAAUUUCUAUUAAAUCCUUAAAAUCUGUAUACAAUGACUUGGUUGAAAAUUGUCUAUUGACUUACAUCUUGACAACCAGACUUAACCAAGAUUGGGUCGAAAAUUUCUUCAGUAGAAUUCGUGGUAUAUCUGGCGAUAAUUCACAUCCGGGGCCGGUAGAAGUCAAAUCUAGAAUUAAAAUAUUACUAGUGGGAAAAAAUCUUCAAUUCUACGUCCAAGAUCCAUCUGUACAGAUGGAAGAAGAUUAAGAAAGUAGACCUUGUUUUACAGCUCAAAUAUCUCAAAAUGUUAAAAUUAUUCGGGAAUCCGAUAGUGAAGACAUAAAUGAAUUGUACCCUCCAAUCGACUCAUAGGAAAUAUUGGAAUGAUUUUGAACAUGUAAGAAAUUGUCAAGAUUCAAAAUUACUUGAAAUUUCCUAGAAUGCAAAGUGGGACUGCAAUUUUCAAGGUCUAAGUUAUGUGACUGGAUACAUUGCAAGAAAAAUGUAUGGAGAAUACCCAACUCUCGGUCCUAUUUCGUCCCAGGUUCCUCAUGAAUCAUCACUUUCUCCCUGGAUAAUCUAUUUGUCUAAAGGUGGGCUAAUAGUCCCAGAAGAAAAUUUCCUUAUAUAAUGUUCCCUAUUUAAUGAUGACUUUUGCCAGUUUCAUACUGAUUUAGAUUGCAACCCUAACGUCAUCCGUGGAUUUAGGGAUUUUUUAAUUUAAAAAUAUGGACGUAUAUUCCCCGAGGAUAUUCUUAGGUUUUUUCUAAAGUACGGAUAUUAAUCAGAGUCAAAGCCUUGAAUUAUAAUUUAAGGGUAAAUGAAGCUAAAUCCAAACUUAGAAAGAUGAAACAAAUUCGGCAAUUUAGUUUAUAACACUUUUUUUGAAAAUUAAUUUUCUAAUAUGUUCGUAUAUAUUUUUUAGUAUUAAAAUAAAUUAUAAAAAUAUCCUAAAUCAUGUUUCAGUGGUUUUUCUACUAAUAUGCUUGGAAAGGGAAAAAAAUAUAACGUUCCAAAUUAUAAACUAUAAUGCUUUUUAUUGGUCUGUUAAAAAUAAAUGAUAUGAGAUAAUUUUAAUACAUCUAUUUUGUAUUUUUCCACCCAAUGACGUCAGAGAGACCUAUACUAUUUUUUCCGAGGGAAAUAGAAAUGGUUACUGCCAAACUUUGUAUUUAAAGAACAUUGCCCUCCUUAUAGUUUUUGCGAUAUAUUUAAUAAAUAACAACACUUAUAUUAGGAACGUAAAUAUAAUAAAUAAAUAAUAUAAGCUUCUACCUAUGGGCAAGAAUUCUGCGUAUGCCAUGAAGCUGAAUAUUAUUCAUGAAAGGGAGUGCUCUUCUUCAAUUAAGUAGCAAAAGAACAAGCGUUUUUAAAAAUAAAUGAAGAGGAAUUCAUUUCUGAUCAGUCAAGGUCUUCAUACAAAAAAGUAGAACAAAAUGCCAGGGAAAUCUGUACUUGGAAUUGUAGCUGAUAUUCGAAGAGAAGAUGAAGGUGAAUACGUGUGCCCUAGAUCAACAAUCUUUGGUUUGGAGAAUGUUGAAGUAAAAGCAUUAAUUUCCUUAGGCUUGCAAUUAACGGAUAGAAAUAAAGACGUUGAGGGCUAUGAAGUGCUUAGCUCUGCUUUCAAGUUAAUGCGUAUACUCGGAGAACAUAUGGGAUAUUAUCCAAACGGUGAUCCAGCUUGCACAGAGGGACCUGGUGGUCGAUCAGUCCUCAUCUAUACCAUGGUUAAAGAUCUCUAAAUAUUAAAAUUCUAAGAUUAAAAUUUCAGAACUACCUUAUGGACAAGGUCUUUAAUAAUUUGUAUAUAAAAUUCAUUCACUCAUUAAUUAUCUAUAAAAAGCCUUUAUUAAUCUUAAAAUAAUAAUAAAUUACUAAUUCUGUAAA
rnacentral:misc_RNA from 1 species